rnacentral:rRNA from 1 species
UGGGGAAUAUUGGACAAUGGGCGAAAGCCUGAUCCAGCCAUGCCGCGUGUGUGAAGAAGGUCUUCGGAUUGUAAAGCACUUUAAGUUGGGAGGAAGGGCAUUAACCUAAUACGUUAGUGUUUUGACGUUACCGACAGAAUAAGCACCGGCUAACUCUGUGCCAGCAGCCGCGGUAAUACAGAGGGUGCAAGCGUUAAUCGGAAUUACUGGGCGUAAAGCGCGCGUAGGUGGUUUGUUAAAUUGGAUGUGAAAUCCCCGGGCUCAACCUGGGAACUGCAUUCAAAACUGACUGACUAGAGUAUGGUAGAGGGUGGUGGAAUUUCCUGUGUAGCGGUGAAAUGCGUAGAUAUAGGAAGGAACACCAGUGGCGAAGGCGACCACCUGGACUAAUACUGACACUGAGGUGCGAAAGCGUGGGGAGCAAACA